AAAAAUAGGAAUGGGGAACACUUCAUGGUUGAUGUUGAGUGCUCUGAACUACGGUCCCAGGCCCCUGGGGAUUUGUUCUUUAUACUUAGCACAAAGUGUGAGAAGCAGAGCUGUACAUGAACAUAAGGCAUAUUGAAUUAUGGUAGCUAACUAAUGUUCAUUAUGGCUUUGUUUUAAGGUAAUGACUGUAUACCAUAAAAUGUCAAUAAAGAUAUUACUGGGAUUUAUUAUAAUAGGCUUUGUUUAAGAUGUUGACUUCAAUUACCAACCACUGGAAACAGUGACAUUAUUAAAGUAAAAGAAAAUUACUUGGUAGUAAUUACUUGGUGCACCACUUUAUACCUCAUUUGGGAAUAUAAUCAUACCAUUUAUUAAAAAGCAAAAACGUCUUUCACCCAGUGCAUGAUUUAAGAGCUAAUAUAAUGUGUAUUUGGCAAAUUUUAAGAUUUCGUCCAUUCAAAACUGAGUCCUUUAUGUAAAGCAUCAUGAGAAGCUCUUUAAAGGGAGUACAUUAAAUUAUCACUCUACAGUGUAUCUAAAUAUAAAUAUC
rnacentral:lncRNA from 1 species